rnacentral:rRNA from 1 species
AACGAACGCUGGCGGCAUGCCUAACACAUGCAAGUCGAACGAUUGCCUUCGGGUGAUAGUGGCGCACGGGUGCGUAACGCGUGGUAAUCUGCCCUUAGGUUCGGAAUAACAGCUGGAAACGGCUGCUAAUACCGGAUGAUAUCGCGAGAUCAAAGAUUUAUCGCCUGAGGAUGAGCCCGCGUUGGAUUAGGUAGUUGGUGGGGUAAAGGCCUACCAAGCCGACGAUCCAUAGCUGGUCUGAGAGGAUGAUCAGCCACACUGGGACUGAGACACGGCCCAGACUCCUACGGGAGGCAGCAGUGGGGAAUAUUGGACAAUGGGCGCAAGCCUGAUCCAGCAAUGCCGCGUGAGUGAUGAAGGCCCUAGGGUUGUAAAGCUCUUUUACCCGGGAAGAUAAUGACUGUACCGGGAGAAUAAGCCCCGGCUAACUCCGUG